GCGCAGCCUGUGUCCUGGCCUCAGGGCCGCAAGCACAUCAUUUCCCUCCCUGGACCUCAGUUUGCUUCUCUGUGAUGAGAGACCAAGGCGGCCUCCCACCCAGGUUGUUAGGACCACACGAGAGGGAACCGCGGUGACAGUGCCACACCAGACGCCGGGCUCGGCACCGGUGAUCCAAAGAUCCUUGCCCUCGCAAAGCUGAAACCCUAACGUGGGGCGAGGGGGCCGAGGGCGUGGGAACAAGCACUGUGAAUAGGUCAGCUAAACAGGGUAUGAGCGGGCGAUGCCAGUUACGGGGAAAUGAAGCUGAGAGAAGCAUGUGUGUGUGAUGGUGGCGGAGGGACUUACCGUUUUAGGUGGGGUGGUCACGGAGGCCUCCUGAGAAGGUGCCACCUGAUGACAUAAAGGAGGUGCCAGAGCCGGCACGGCAGACGUCUGCGGAGGGCAUUCCAGGCAGACAGUGCGGCCGUGCAAAUGGCUUGAGGCAUGAAGACUAACACAGCAAGGAAGAGGGUGGGCUGCGGCACAGGAUGAGGGCCAGUCAGUCCCCGGCCGCCAGAUGGGUCCUGUAAGAACCGAAGCCAGGUGGUUCAUAGACCUUUCCAGUCCAACGACUUCCCAUCGCUCUGGCCUCGAGUCCAGACUCCUUGCCUGGCCCAGCCCCAGCCCCCUCUCCAGCCUCAGCUCUCUUCAGCCUGCUGGCCUUCGUUCAUGUGGCGUGCCAACCUCAGGUCCUCCGGACUGGCUCUGCUGGUUUCUGGUCUGUCCCUUACCUGGAUGGUGCCCUGGAUGGGGCUCAUCCUUUUUGGGGCCCUCGUUUUCUUCAUCCGUAAAGGGGGGACUUGGACUCCUUGAGUCCGAAAGAUGGUCUUAAGUUUCCACGUCUGGGGCUCUGGGAGCCACGGAGAAGCUGCCCUUCUUUGCUCCGUUCCUGCCCGGUGAGACCACCACGGGCGAGAUGCUCUGCGUUGCCCACUCCCCUCCGUCUUCGCCUGCCGGGGUCUGUUGCAGGUGCUGAGAGCCGGGGGAGGGAGACGUGAUCCCCGGCUCACGGAGGAGAGGGGAGGAGAGUAAAGAUGCAGAUGAACCUGUGUGGCCUGCCCUACUCUGAGCCUCGGUUUCCUGGUCUGUAGGAGGGCACACGUGAUUGCUGAGAGGUCUGGCAACAGAAGGGUCGAGUGGCAAUAAGCUCUCACAAAGCACCUGCCUGGGGCCUGGGUGGGGUGCCCCACGGAGGGGAUGAGAGGCUCAGCCAAGCCCUCGCAGAGCUUGCCCAGCAGGCGCAAGGCAAAUGGGGUGACUUCCAGGCAGGGCACACCCAGGAUCCCGCCCCACGGGGGACAGGGCUCCCGCUACCACUUCCACCAGCACCGGCUGCCCGAGUUCUCCUCGGCCUGCAGAGCCCCGCCCAGGACCUCCCUCUAGGACGCUGCUCCCCAUGCCGGUGAGGAAACUGAGGCACAGAGGGGUAAAGUGACCCAGCCAAGGUCACACAGCUGGUGAGUGGCAGAGCUGGGGUUCAAACCCAGGCAGCCUGGUGCUAUGCGGAUACCCAAACCGUCAGGGUGCUUCUCGACGCCAUAUCCACUCCCAGAGGUGGUCCUGUGGUGUCAUCCAUCAUCUGAAGCCAUAGGGUCAUCCUGGGGUCAAGCCCAGGGAUCGUCACCCUCAGCCCAGUAAGAGAAAGGUCCACAAGUUCAAGAACCACAGUUUCCCAUCCCCCCCUUGCUGCUGACCGGCCAGGAAAACCUCGGGCCACUCCCUUUGCCCCCUUGCCUCAGUUUCCACCUCUGUCAAAUGGAGAAUAGAAAAAGCUCUUCAGCCUUUAUUAGCCCUGGGAUCUGACCCCAACCAUCCCGUAUUUGUUGAGUGACCUUUCUGAGCCAGAAUGCCUCUGGGGCUGCUUCCCUUGUCUGCAAAAUGGAGCUAAUGCUAUCUGUGCUUCUUGAGCUCUGUGGACAGACAGACGGACGGCAGGGAGAGCCCCAUGAGAAGGCCUGGGUGUGGCUGCAGCUGGCCCAGCCUGUGCACCCUCGGCCCAGCCUCUGAAGCUGGGGCCUGACAGCAGCUCAGCUCCUGCCCCAACACGGGGAGGCCAGCCCUCCACUCAUUCAGCAGCCAUUUGUUGAACAUCGACUCCGGCCAGGCCCUGGGCUGGGUACCGG
rnacentral:lncRNA from 1 species